GUGGGGAAUAUUGGACAAUGGGGGGAACCCUGAUCCAGCCAUGCCGCGUGUGUGAAGAAGGCCUUUUGGUUGUAAAGCACUUUAAGCGAGGAGGAGGCUACCGAGAUUAAUACUCUUGGAUAGUGGACGUUACUCGCAGAAUAAGCACCGGCUAACUCUGUGCCAGCAGCCGCGGUAAUACAGAGGGUGCAAGCGUUAAUCGGAUUUACUGGGCGUAAAGCGCGCGUAGGUGGCCAAUUAAGUCAAAUGUGAAAUCCCCGAGCUUAACUUGGGAAUUGCAGUCGAUACUGGUUGGCUAGAGUAUGGGAGAGGAUGGUAGAAUUCCAGGUGUAGCGGUGAAAUGCGUAGAGAUCUGGAGGAAUACCGAUGGCGAAGGCAGCCAUCUGGCCUAAUACUGACACUGAGGUGCGAAAGCAUGGGGAACAAACAGGAUUAGAUACCUUUGUAGUCC
rnacentral:rRNA from 1 species